AUAUAGGUAUUAAACUGUUUAUUCUUCAUUAGUUUGAUUAGUGGGUCUUUUUCUUAACUAGAUUACUCUCCUAUGCAUUUGAGCGACGAGUUUACAUAUCUUUAUUUAUCAGCAUAUAAACUAUUCUCCAUCAGUUGGGCGAUUGUGCAAUGGAGCGAGAUGUCUUUAAUUCCAGUGUAUGAUACAGACAAGUAAGUUUAUAUUGAAUGUGAUAUGCAAUAUGAUGCAGUUAGUAUAUUUAAUUUUAUUAAGUCAUAUUUGGUAUUGACCAGUUAUUUUGGUGAACAGUUAGGUUGACAUUGUUUUAAGCGAUACAUUUGGCUAAAUUU
rnacentral:lncRNA from 1 species